rnacentral:rRNA from 1 species
UACGUAGGGGGCGAGCGUUGUCCGAAGUUACUGGGCGUAAAGCGCGCGUAGGCGGUCUCUUAAGUCCGGGGUGAAAGGUUCAGCGCUCAACGCGAACAGUGCCCUGGAGACUGGGGGACUUGAGUGUGGGAGGGGGCAGUGGAAUUCCGGGUGUAGCGGUGAAAUGCGUAGAUAUCCGGAGGAACACCAGUGGCGAAGGCGACUCUUUGGUCUGUAACUGACGCUGAGGCGCGAAAGCGUGGGGAGCAAACAGG